GAAAUGCGAUAAGUAGUGUGAAUUACAGAAUUCAGUGAAUCAUCGAAUCUUUGAACGCACAUUGCGCCCUUUGGUAUUCCUUAGGGCAUGCCUGUUCGAGCGUCAUCUAAACCUUCAAGCCAUGCUUGGUGUUGGGUGCCUGUCCCGCCUCCGCGCGCGGACUCACCUCAAAUCCAUUGGCGGCCCCCGCGUCGGCCACGAGCGCAGCAGAAACGCGAACUCGUGAGCCCGUCCGGGCGGCUCCCAGAAGCUACACCCACCCAGUUUGACCUCGGAUCAGGUAGGGAUACCCGCUGAACUUAAGC
rnacentral:misc_RNA from 1 species